rnacentral:tRNA from 1 species
AAUAAAGUGGCUGAUGAAAAGCGCUGAAUUGUAAAUUCAGAUAUAAGUGAGACUUCUUUAUUA